rnacentral:tRNA from 1 species
GGGGAUAUAGCUCAGUUGGUAGAGUGCUUGCCUUGCAUGCACAAGGCCUUGGGUUCAAUCCCCAGCACCACCA